rnacentral:rRNA from 1 species
GACGAACGCUGGCGGCGUGCCUAAUACAUGCAAGUAGAACGCUGAAGGAGGAGCUUGCUUCCCUGGAUGAGUUGCGAACGGGUGAGUAACGCGUAGGUAACCUGCCCGGUAGCGGAGGAUAACUAUUGGAAACGAUAGCUAAUACUGCAUAAGAGUAGAUGUUGCAUGACAUUUACUUAAAAGGUGCAAUUGCAUCACUACCAGAUGGACCUGCGUUGUAUUAGCUAGUUGGUGGGGUAACGGCUCACCAAGGCGACGAUACAUAGCCGACCUGAGAGGGUGAUCGGCCACACUGGGACUGAGACACGGCCCAGACUCCUACGGGAGGCAGCAGUAGGGAAUCUUCGGCAAUGGACGGAAGUCUGACCGAGCAACGCCGCGUGAGUGAAGAAGGUUUUCGGAUCGCACAGCUCUGUUGUAAGAGAAGAACGAGUGUGAGAGUGGAAGGUUCACACUGUGACGGUAUCUUACCAGAAAGGGACGGCUAACUACGUGCCAGCAGCCGCGGUAAUACGUAGGUCCCGAGCGUUGUCCGGAUUUAUUGGGCGUAAAGCGAGCGCAGGCGGUUAGAUAAGUCUGAAGUUAAAGGCUGUGGCUUAACCAUAGUACGCUUUGGAAACUGUUUAACUUGAGUGCAAGAGGGGAGAGUGGAAUUCCAUGUGUAGCGGUUGAGAUGCGUAGAUAUAUGGAGGAACACCGGUGGCGAAAGCUGCUCUCUGGCUUGUAACUGACGCUUAUGCUCGAAAGCGUGGGGGAGCAAACAUG